UACGGAGGGGGCAAGCGUUGUUCGGAGUUACUGGGCGUAAAGCGCGCGUAGGCGGUGCGGUAAGUCAGGGGUUAAAGGCUGCAGCUCAACUGCAGUAAGGCCUUUGAUACUAUCGCGCUAGAGUACCAGAGAGGAUGGCGGAAUUCCCGGUGUAGCGGUGAAAUGCGUAGAUAUCGGGAGGAAGGCCGGUGGCGAAGGCGGCCUCCUGGGCCUGUACUGACGCUGAGGAGCGAAAGCCAGGGGAGCGAACGGG
rnacentral:rRNA from 1 species